UGGGGAAUAUUGCACAAUGGGGGAAACCCUGAUGCAGCGACGCCGCGUGAGUGAAGAAGUAUUUCGGUAUGUAAAGCUCUAUCAGCAGGGAAGAAAAUGACGGUACCUGACUAAGAAGCACCGGCUAAAUACGUGCCAGCAGCCGCGGUAAUACGUAUGGUGCAAGCGUUAUCCGGAUUUACUGGGUGUAAAGGGAGCGUAGGCGGCGGGGCAAGUCAGAAGUGAAAGCCCGGGGCUCAACCCCGGGACUGCUUUUGAAACUGUUCUGCUAGAGUGUCGGAGAGGUAAGCGGAAUUCCUAGUGUAGCGGUGAAAUGCGUAGAUAUUAGGAGGAACACCAGUGGCGAAGGCGGCUUACUGGACGAUAACUGACGCUGAGGCUCGAAAGCGUGGGGAGCAAACAGG
rnacentral:rRNA from 2 species